UGUACGCAACAUAUCAUAACAAAAACGUGUUAAAUAGAGUAGAACCUUUUGGAGUAAAGAUGCUUGCUCAAUAUCCCAUUUUUAUUUGCACACAUCUAGCUAUUCCUAAUGCUGGGUAAGGCUGUGGCUACUGCGACAGCGCCAUCGGGAGUAAAUGAGUUAUUUUUUAUGAUUCUGGAGAGUUAGAACGAAUUUCUUCAUGAAUGGGCAUAUUUGGACAGCAUCCUAUUCUUGACAUUAUAUUCAUCAUCCUAUUCUACGCAAAUGAAUAACGAAGCGUUACCUGUAAAAAAUAGGAGUUCCAUUAUUGAUAAAACAGAAGGUUUAUUGGGUUUGAUUUUACAGACGCAUACUAAGUCAAGGUCGCGUUGCAAGAUCGCCGAACCACACCCUCGACAGCAGUUACGACGCCGUUGCUCGGCCAGGUCCCAUAGACGCCAAGCUGGACACAGGAGGUCAUUGCCCUGCGAGGAAGAGGAAAGCUCGGGAUCUUUCUCAAGGUCUAGGGCCUUCCCUCAAGGUCGCAGGGCUUAAAUGUCAGCUCGUUAAGCGCCCCACUUGAACGAGUUGUUUCUCCCUGUGGGUUCGUUCUCACUUCCUGGUUGUGGUUCUGCCUUUUCUAUUUUUCAAGUCGCUAGCUCGUUAUGGCGGAAGCCAAACGUGGAAGCAGCGUGAUCUUUUGACGGGUAUGGGGGAGAAUAGGCUUGCUUCACAGCCACUGAAAUGAAGGCGAAAGCGCGACACGAACUAAACUAUUCGAUAUAUUCUCUACUCACUCGAUCCGCUGAUCUUUCACGUUAGCACAGCAGAGCUGACCGGAGUACACCGAGGAUGCAGGAGAGGCGGGAAGAGCGGCGGAGGCUGGGGCGGCGACGCUGGAAGUGUCGACACUGGAAUAGUGAGGGUGCAACGACAAAAUAAAACUGUUUCGUCUCCCUCCGCCCUGCACACCCCGGCCAGACGCUUCCAAGGCUGGUGACACUGACGCGUCUCGUGCGUGUCUCCUCCGUCAUCCCUCACUGAUGGAACUGGCGCUUAUCAAUUGAGAAGUAAUUCUGCAGAUAAAGUUGGUAGAAAAGAUAUUUUUUAUUUAUCUUUCUUUUUUUUUUACUAUUUUCUGUUCAUAUUUCGCUGCUGUGCAUCAUCACGUAGAUUAUCAAGAAAGGCAAGGACACACCUACGCAUCACACUCGAAUCGAUGUCAGUCAAGUCAGCAAAAAUUUCCAGACACGGUCAUUCGCGGACCUCACGACCACCUUUACUUAAAAGUCCCACUGCAUACUCUUCACAGACGCCUAAAUAUGAAGACUGAGCCUCAGUUUUCCAUGGAUUUCGAAGCAUCAAUGAAGGUAGCAACAUUGAAAGAAAUCCAGAUAUAAUAACUUCGAGGAAAACCUUCGCUGCAGAUCGGAUCUCGAGAAGCAGUCCCGGAGAUCUGGCAGUCUGGAAGAAAAAAGUCACUCCUUUACAGGCUAUGGAACCAACCAACAAACAGAAAAAACUGAACAAAGAACAUGCAAAAUAAAAUGUGCUGUACCUUUAGAAGCCUUCUGAACUCACUAACUUUAUCAUUUGAAGGGAUGAGUCGACUGAAUGUACCGCUGUCCACACCACCUAAUUCCCGGAACAACCAGCAAAUACCCAUCACCAUGAUCUUGCCUGAACCUCGACUUAACGAUUUAAGAACGAAGGUACGGGUACAGUCGUCUUCGGAAGAGGAAUAUUAGGCCUUUUGAACACCGGUGAUAUUCCGGAACACCACAGCCAGAUUCCCUUCCUAAAAUAAGGUGUGCUAAGGAUCUCCCACAGGACAUACACACCAAGGGUUCGGUGACGACCCAGAGGACCGAUACACCAAGUAAAAAACUUCCAGACCGAGUGUCAUGCGUCCCAUAACCCAUAACCCUUUUUUCUAAAGGAGUCACAGGCUCUUACAUAAGGAUGAUAAACGGUAAGUAAUCAUAAUAAUAGGAACAAUAGUAAUGAUAAUAAUAACA